UGGGGAAUUUUGGACAAUGGGGGAAACCCUGAUCCAGCCAUCCCGCGUGUGCGAUGAAGGCCUUCGGGUUGUAAAGCACUUUUGGCAGGAAAGAAACGUCGCGGGUUAAUACCCCGCGAAACUGACGGUACCUGCAGAAUAAGCACCGGCUAACUACGUGCCAGCAGCCGCGGUAAUACGUAGGGUGCAAGCGUUAAUCGGAAUUACUGGGCGUAAAGCGUGCGCAGGCGGUUCGGAAAGAAAGAUGUGAAAUCCCAGAGCUUAACUUUGGAACUGCAUUUUUAACUACCGGGCUAGAGUGUGUCAGAGGGAGGUGGAAUUCCGCGUGUAGCAGUGAAAUGCGUAGAUAUGCGGAGGAACACCGAUGGCGAAGGCAGCCUCCUGGGAUAACACUGACGCUCAUGCACGAAAGCGUGGGGAGCAAACAGGAUUAGAUACCCUGGUAGUCCACGCCCUAAACGAUGUCAACUAGCUAGUUGGGGCCUUCGGGCCUUGGUAGGCGCAGCUAACGCGUGAAGUUGACCGCCCUGGGGAGUACGGUCGCAAGAUUAAAACUUAAAUGAAUUGACGGGGGUCAUAGCUGUUUCCCU
rnacentral:rRNA from 1 species